CUAAUACAUGCAAGUCGAACGCUUCUUUUUCCACCGGAGCUUGCUCCACCGGAAAAAGAGGAGUGGCGAACGGGUGAGUAACACGUGGGUAACCUGCCCAUCAGAAGGGGAUAACACUUGGAAACAGGUGCUAAUACCGUAUAACAAUCGAAACCGCAUGGUUUUGAUUUGAAAGGCGCUUUCGGGUGUCGCUGAUGGAUGGACCCGCGGUGCAUUAGCUAGUUGGUGAGGUAACGGCUCACCAAGGCCACGAUGCAUAGCCGACCUGAGAGGGUGAUCGGCCACAUUGGGACUGAGACACGGCCCAAACUCCUACGGGAGGCAGCAGUAGGGAAUCUUCGGCAAUGGACGAAAGUCUGACCGAGCAACGCCGCGUGAGUGAAGAAGGUUUUCGGAUCGUAAAACUCUGUUGUUAGAGAAGAACAAGGAUGAGAGUAACUGUUCAUCCCUUGACGGUAUCUAACCAGAAAGCCACGGCUAACUACGUGCCAGCAGCCGCGGUAAUACGUAGGUGGCAAGCGUUGUCCGGAUUUAUUGGGCGUAAAGCGAGCGCAGGCGGUUUCUUAAGUCUGAUGUGAAAGCCCCCGGCUCAACCGGGGAGGGUCAUUGGAAACUGGGAGACUUGAGUGCAGAAGAGGAGAGUGGAAUUCCAUGUGUAGCGGUGA
rnacentral:rRNA from 1 species